CGUAUGGAUUAGACACACCCCGAUACCAACGAAUUCUUGUGCAUCCCCUAUCUUAAUAAAAGAAACCUUUUAAUCCUAUGUGGCAUCUUCUCAGCCCAGUAUUUUACAAAGUUGAUUACCUAUUUUGCCCUUCUCCUUUUAGUUAUCCCAUAAUCGCUUUUAAUGACACAUUGAAAUUGAACUACAAAUCAUCUAUCAGUCAACGAUAAUCUCUCCCCCAAUUUCGCCUUCUAUUUUUUGGAAACCAAAUCACCCUCUAUCUUUCCAGCUCUCUGUAAGAAACCCUACAUCAACACGGUUUAUAUAAGUCUAUCACCACCAUUGCAUUGAUGGUUCUUCCUCUAUAUCGAUCGAUGGCUCUUCUUAGAUGAUGAAGAAUCCUACAUGUGGAUACUUUUACAUUAAGUUCUAUCAAGCAGCAAGCCUCUAGAUGUGAAGCUAAAGUUAUAAACAUGAACCUCACUUCGAAGAGAAAUUAGAAGGGUCUUUGCAUGCCGGUACCAAAACUGAUGCCUUACCACUUGGCUAUACUCCAUGCGGCCUGUUUUGGACGGUAGAACGGGGAGAGGGGGAAGGGGGAAGCAGGGAUCGAAGAACGAGUCGAGCCGUGCAAGGACGUGUUGGUUGAUCAUAUAUUUCAUUAGAGUUCUAUUAUUCAGAGUAUCCUUUCGUAUUUGAUCCCUUUGAAUUCCAUAUUCUCUUUAUAAAAGAGAGAGAGCCUUGUCUUGAGAGUGAAAAGAAAAGGCAAGCGAUAGAAAGGAUAGUCCCUUGCGCGUUCGUGAGAACUACCCGAAUAUGGUGAGAUCAUUAGUGAAAGAAGGACCAACGACGAUCCUAUCCUAAAUGAGAAGCAUUUAAGAUACAUGUAUAAUGAAUGCCUCUUAUAAAACAUAAUUUCUAAAAUUUAAAUUUUACAGCAUGCAAAAUCAUGGUGUGUACAUGUUGAAUGGAUCAAAUGUAAAAGUUGAGAUGUAUUUGUUUGUAAAGAUUAACCUGUAUCGGUUCUAAAGUAUGGAUAUGUUUAAAAACACAAUGAAGGUGCAAUCAUUAUGAGAA